AGAGUUUGAUCAUGGCUCAGGACGAACGCUGGCGGCGUGCUUAACACAUGCAAGUCGAACGAGAUCCUUCGGGGUCUAGUGGCGAACGGGUGAGUAACACGUGAGCAACCUGCCCUUGGCUCUGGGAUAGCCUCCGGAAACGGGGAUUAAUACCGGACAUGACCUGCUCCCGCAUGGGGGCGGGUGGAAAGUUCUUCGGCCAGGGAGGGGCUCGCGGCCUAUCAGCUUGUUGGGGGGGUAACGGCCCACCAAGGCGACGACGGGUAGCCGGCCUGAGAGGGCGACCGGCCACACUGGGACUGAGACACGGCCCAGACUCCUACGGGAGGCAGCAGUGGGGAAUAUUGCACAAUGGGCGCAAGCCUGAUGCAGCGACGCCGCGUGCGGGAUGAAGGCCUUCGGGUUGUAAACCGCUUUCAGCAGGGGCGAAUUUGACGGUACCUGCAGAAGAAGCGCCGGCUAACUACGUGCCAGCAGCCGCGGUAAUACGUAGGGCGCGAGCGUUGUCCGGAAUUAUUGGGCGUAAAGAGCUCGUAGGCGGCCUGUUGCGUCCGCUGUGAAAUCCCAGGGCUCAACCCUGGGCGUGCAGUGGAUACGGGCAGGCUGGAGGCAGGCAGGGGAGAACGGAAUUCCCGGUGUAGCGGUGAAAUGCGCAGAUAUCGGGAGGAACACCGGUGGCGAAGGCGGUUCUCUGGGCCUGUACUGACGCUGAGGAGCGAAAGCGUGGGGAGCGAACAGGAUUAGAUACCCUAGUAGUCC
rnacentral:rRNA from 1 species